rnacentral:misc_RNA from 1 species
GAUGAAGAACGCAGCGAAAUGCGAUAAGUAAUGUGAAUUGCAGAAUCCAGUGAAUCAUCGAAUCUUUGAACGCACAUUGCGCCCGCCAGCAUUCUGGCGGGCAUGCCUGUUCGAGCGUCAUUUCAACCCUCGACCUCCCUUUGGGGAAGUCGGCGUUGGGGACCGGCAGCACACCGCCGGCCCUGAAAUGGAGUGGCGGCCCGUCCGCGGCGACCUCUGCGUAGUAAACCAACUCGCACCGGAACCCCGACGUGGCCACGCCGUAAAACACCCAACUUCUGAACGUUGACCUCGAAUCAGGUAGGACUACCCGCUGAACUUAAGCAUAUCAAAAGCGGAGGA